rnacentral:tRNA from 1 species
GCCUGGGUGGCUUAGGCGGUUGAGCGUCCGACUUCAGCUCAGGUCAUGACCUCACUGUUCGUGGGUUCAAGCCCCACGUUGGGCU